rnacentral:rRNA from 1 species
AGUGAACGCUGGCGGUAGGCCUAACACAUGUAAGUCGAACGGCAGCACGGUAAGAGCUUGCUCUUACGGGUGGCGAGUGGCGGACGGGUGAGGAAUACAUCGGAAUCUACUUUUUCGUGGGGGAUAACGUAGGGAAACUUACGCUAAUACCGCAUACGACCUACGGGUGAAAGCAGGGGAUCUUCGGACCUUGCGCGAUUGAAUGAGCCGAUGUCGGAUUAGCUAGUUGGCGGGGUAAAGGCCCACCAAGGCGACGAUCCGUAGCUGGUCUGAGAGGAUGAUCAGCCACACUGGAACUGAGACACGGUCCAGACUCCUACGGGAGGCAGCAGUGGGGAAUAUUGGACAAUGGGCGCAAGCCUGAUCCAGCCAUACCGCGUGGGUGAAGAAGGCCUUCGGGUUGUAAAGCCCUUUUGUUGGGAAAGAAAAGCAGCAGGUUAAUACCCCGCUGUUCUGACGGUACCCAAAGAAUAAGCACCGGCUAACUUCGUG